rnacentral:snRNA from 1 species
GGAUGUGAUGGCGAUCUGGCUGUGACAUCUGUCACCCACUGAUUGCUGGGGUUGAACUGACCGACCUGACUGGCUGGGGCAUCCCCUUCCUCCCUCACCGUUCCCUGUGUGUCCCUGGAGAAGCUGAGCUUGCAGUGGGAGAGGACAGCCACCAUGGAUAGAGGAUGACAGUUCCCCAGGUCGAGGCAUGGCAGCGGCUACGUUUCCCUGUUAACAGCCUCCAAAUCUGGUUAGCAGCUGUCAGUGGUGGCGGGUAGAAAUGGGAGUUGCUGCUCACUGCGUGUAGAAUUCAAAUCAGUAAAAAUGAAAAAAGUAU